AGGUAUAAGUCAGUGGUAGAGUGUGUGCUUAGCAUGCACAGGGUCCUGGGGUUCAAUUCCCGGUGCCU
rnacentral:tRNA from 1 species